UUUUGGAUUAGCAAGAAAAUUGAGUGAUAUAUUAAAGACACCUUCCUCCCAGGAUAUUUGAAGAAACCAAGUGCACUUGAGGCAAAAAGAGGUCAAGAGAUUUCUGGCAGGGAAAGGGAAUAAUUUACUGUGACUUAAAGCCAUCAAGCGUCCUGUUGGAUGAAAGUGGAAUGGCGAAGCUGUGUGAUUUUGGAUUGGCAAGAAAAUUGAGUGAUAUAUUAAAGACACCUUCCUCCCAGAUAUUCUUUGGCAUCCAUCUGAUCUCUCAGUCCGACCUGUAAUGCCUAGGAGAAAAUCAAAUAAAGCUCAGAAUUCUUCGUUCUCUAGAUCAUGCAAAUGUAUUGAAGUUCUACUCCUGGUGAGAUUUGCAUGUAACUCCUUUCUUUUUCUUCAAUUUCGUUUCUAUGGUAAAGGUCCUUUUGGCGUUUAAUAAGAAGAUUUCUCUGACUUAUUUUCUAAUUCAACCGAUCCAUAAGUAUGGAACAUCUGCACACCUGUGGUUGGUUUUAGAAUAUUGUGUUGGAGGAGAUUUCAUGAGCUUGUUGCAGCAGGUAAACACUGGCAGGUCUGCUAUAUUAUAAAAACAUUUCAUUGUUCCAGUGGUAUAACUGCUGUGUUGGCAUAUAGGAUGCCUUAUGCUGACAUUAGACACGAACAUCCAAAAUUUGUGACAACACCCUAAUUCUUCUUUGUCUUUGUUUUAGUAGAGGCGUGGGAUAUUGAGGUUUCAUGGUAAAUUUGUUGCAUGCCUACAUUGGGAUUUCCCAAACAGGCACUAAGGACAUCGGUGUCAUGUGCGAUUGAAUACUUAAUUAGAGAUGAUUGUUUGUAGUCUCACAAAAUACAAAUAUAGGUUCUCACUCUUUGGAUUAACUUGUUUCUUGUGCCAGCAAAAUGAUGUGAAAGAAAUAGGUUUCUUUUUUGAUUUGUAUAUAAAGAGUGGUCAAAAUGACCAUAGUUUACUGUAGUUGGUAAUGUCACAACUUGCAUCUUCAUCAUCUUACCUGUAUUUUAGUUUAAACCACACUUGGGAGAUUUUAACAUCAUUUAAUCUCUGAGUUAAAGGAUGGUAAGCUUCCCGAUGAUUCAAUACAUGAUCGAGCUCGUGGCCUUGUUAGAGCUCU